GAAAGCUACCACCGAAGGAUGAGCCUGCGUCCCAUCAGCUAGUUGGUAAGGUAAUGGCUUACCAAGGCGAAGACGGGUAGCUGGUUUGAGAGAAUGAUCAGCCACACUGGCACUGGAACACGGGCCAGACUCCUACGGGAGGCAGCAGUGAGGAAUAUUGGGCAAUGGGCGAAAGCCUGACCCAGCCACGCCGCGUGAGUGAUGAAGGCCCUCGGGUCGUAAAGCUCUGUGGAGAGGGACGAAAACCCUGGUUUCAAAUAGGCUCCAGGCUUGACGGUACCUCUUUAGCAAGCACCGGCUAACUCUGUG
rnacentral:rRNA from 1 species